GGAUAACUUAUCUACCACCAAUUUUGCUCCAACUUUUAAUGAUAUCAGUUUUUCUAAAAGCAUAUCGGACUGGAGAGAUGCUUUAAGAAAAUCGUUUUUUUAAGUUUUAUUAUUUUAUCAUUAUAUGACAUAUAUAUCAUAAUAUAUCUGACGGUGGAAGCUGAAUAAUAUUAUUAUAAUUAUUAUUUCUAAUUGUCUAAUUUUUAUUUUCAAAAUUUAGGGGUUCCCAACCUCUUCUAUUGUGUGUCCUUUUUGUAGAUUUUUAAAAAUCUCGCAUUCCCGCUCUUUAAUUUACUAAGUCUACUUACUUAAUCUAACUUAACAACCAAAGCUCGGCAAGUUAGUAAUUUUUUUUCAAUUAGUUAAAGUUAAAUUAGUUUAAUAUAAAAUCUUACUAAAUUAGAAUAUAAAUUAGUUUCUACAAUUUUCCAAAUUUCCAACUUAGAUGUUAGUUAGGUAAACAUAGUAACUUAAGUUAGACGAGAAGUUAGAAGUUAGUU